UGAUCCACCUCUGAAUGACUUUUAAUCUGUAAAUAUUUCCUAACAAAUUAAAUUCUCACAAUUCAGAUUUAUACUCUGGUGAUCAAUCACCAGGUGAUCAAUCGAGGAUACAAUGGGAGACCAUCUGUGAUCCAUACCUGUAACCAGUGACAUCUUCAGUUACCCAGCUCCUAUUAUGCAAAUGAAACUGAAGCCAGAAGUUGUGCACCUGUGCUUGCCUCUGGACUUAAUAUUUCUAAUGAGUUCGUAAAUCCUGUUCUACAGACAAGCCUGUGAGAUUGCUCAACUCGGAUUACAGUAGAGCAGGCUAGCAAUAUGCGGUACAAUACUCUCAUGAUGCUGGGCAGGAGCAGUUAGCAACAGCCAUGUGAUAAUCCCCAAGUUCUGGAUGCUGGAAAUCCAAGAUCAAGGCACCAGCAUGGUUAUGUUCUCUGGACAAGAGCCCUCUUCCUGGUCAUAGCUGGUGUCUUCCCUCUGUAUUUCACAUGGUGAAAGGAGCCCAGGAUCUCUAUGGAGCUUCUUUUAGAAGGCACUAAUUCCAUCCACGAAGACUCCAGUUUCCUCAAUUUAUCAACUCGCAAAGGCCCCACCUCCUAAUAACAUCAUGCUUGGGUUUUAGGACUUCAACAUAUGAAUUUUGCGGACACAA